AGAGUUUGAUCCUGCUCAGACGAACGCUGGCGGCGUGCUUAACACAUGCAAGUCGAACGAUGAAGCCCAGCUUGCUGGGUGGAUUAGUGGCGAACGGGUGAGUAACACGUGAGCAACGUGCCCAUAACUCUGGGAUAACCUCCGGAAACGGUGGCUAAUACUGGAUAUCUAACACGAUCGCAUGGUCUGUGUUUGGAAAGAUUUUUUGGUUAUGGAUCGGCUCACGGCCUAUCAGCUUGUUGGUGAGGUAAUGGCUCACCCAAGGCGACGACGGGUAGCCGGCCUGAGAGGGUGACCGGCCACACUGGGACUGAGACACGGCCCAGACUCCUACGGGAGGCAGCAGUGGGGAAUAUUGCACAAUGGGCGAAAGCCUGAUGCAGCAACGCCGCGUGAGGGAUGACGGCCUUCGGGUUGUAAACCUCUUUUAGUAGGGAAGAGGCGAAAGUGACGGUACCUGCAGAAAAAGCACCGGCUAACUACGUG
rnacentral:rRNA from 1 species